rnacentral:rRNA from 1 species
AACGAACGCUGGCGGCAGGCUUAACACAUGCAAGUCGAACGCACCUUUCGGGGUGAGUGGCAGACGGGUGAGUAACACGUGGGAACGUACCCUUUUGUUCGGAAUAACCCUGGGAAACUAGGGCUAAUACCGGAUACGCCCUUUUUGGGGAAAGGUUUACUGCAGAAGGAUCGGCCCGCGUCCGAUUAGCUUGUUGGUGGGGUAAUGGCCUACCAAGGCUUCGAUCGGUAGCUGGUCUGAGAGGAUGACCAGCCACAUUGGGACUGAGACACGGCCCAAACUCCUACGGGAGGCAGCAGUGGGGAAUAUUGGACAAUGGGCGCAAGCCUGAUCCAGCCAUGCCGCGUGAGUGAUGACGGCCUUAGGGUUGUAAAGCUCUUUUACCUGGGAAGAUCAUGACGGUACCAGGAGAAUAAGCCCCGGCUAACUUCGUGCCAGCCGCCGCAGUAAAAC